UGUCAAACACGGUACGGUGGUACAGCGCGUGAAACAUCGUCGUUGCGAAGCAGAUGCACGUCUCCUCCCGUGACGCGUACGUUCCAAUUAGGCCGAACCGGUCACGUUCAAUCCGUUCAAUGCCGUCGCACCGCGGAAAACUCAAUGUUACGUUGGGACCCGAUCGAACUCGUCGGUUAGUCACGUACGUGUCGGUUUCAAUUCUACCAGAGUGAAUCAGACGUUUAACGACCACCGGGAUGUCCACGGAGAAUGUACGGGGAGUAUUUGCAGUUAACAUCGUAUCUGGCCGACGCGACGGGAUGCUGAACGAACGACGUAUAUAACGUGCAACACCGAGAGAAGUGAUCGACGCGACUUGUGCUUCUCGUUCCGCGGUGCAUUACGUGCGAUCGACGCCGUCGAUCGUCCUAGUCAAGUGUUUUUCUAGCGAAACGUUCCACGAUCGUUUAUCACCGUUUCAUUUACCUGAGCUUCGAUGACGCCGUUUCGUUUCUACUUGAGGAGCUCGAACGCGUCGCGCGUCGUCGCGGGUGCAUCGCCACGCGAUUCGAACCGCGUUUCCUGCGCGCCGUUUAUUAAUGAAACCGCCGUGAUCGAGCCGUGUGGAUCUCGAGCAAAUCGAUGGAAUACCGGUAACACUGGCCACGUGACGUUCGUUUCGCACGUAGCUUCGCACAGGUAAACGAUGUAAUGUACGGUUCGCGUGAAAGACAUUCUGUAAAAGGGGAUAUCCGUCGUCGGGGAAGAACGUCGCGAUGCCCAUUAUCCAAUUUCCAACUACGGUAGAAAACGACACAGAUAAAACGACGAACGACGGGAGACAGAAGAGGGUCGUGUUGGUUCGGUCAAUUUUUAUGAAACGUCUCGGCGAAGCCGCCUUGGCGAGGUAUGAAUUGAAUCGAGAGAUGCGAAUAAAAAUAAUAUUUCUUCGGCAAAGAGGCAACCGUUCGGCAGCUGGGUAAUUGCACGAACACGGUUACGUAAACGCGUAUUGACGAGCGACAAACAGGAAAGCGAUACCGCGUGUGACACAUGUGUUGACUCGAGCCUCGUCCGAGUUCCCUUUCGUCCGAUAUCGUCCGCUUCGACGUGUUCGAACAAUGUCAAUGAGUAGACGACGACGACGACGGUACUGGUUCGACCAGAUUCCUUAUUAGAAAUACCUACGAGAAGGAACACGUGCGCGGACACACCAAGAAGCCGUUACGAUCCGACGUGAACAUUUUCAAGUAUAUGAUAAACGUUUCGACGAGCCGCCCGCCAUCGGAGUAUUAUUAGUUAUGCAGCACUUGUUGAACUAUCGACUGUUGUUUCGCGAAUAGGUGAUACGUCGUGUAACGAGCGUACAGAUUACGUAAACUUACGUAAAUGAAACGAGGAUCGGUAUCGAGAGAGGGAGACAUCGUUUCCAGCGAUCAAAAUCGCCAGUCUAAACGUGAUGCUCUCGUCGCCUACAGGGAUGUGGUGGUGGUCGAAAUUUAUGCAGUUAUUUACCGAGCUCCGACUAACGAAGCACUAAAAUAGACAAAAUACAAAUGACAUUGAGUUUACCGGUGGAAGCAUGUUUACGCGAACUUGCGAGCACUCGGUAACAUAAUCUAAUAAUGUUCUAUCGCACUAUUUUUAGACCAUAGGUGCACCCCGUCGGCUGCUCCGACGCUGAAAAAUCGCAGCUGAUACACGCUCUGUGUAUACACACCGGCCAAGACGGACGUGGAAAGAGUAACGCGCGGAAAGAUUUACAGGUCGUUGAUAUUGGAAAUCGUGAUCGUUACAUCACUUUGUAGACGCGUAAAAGCAGCACGAGACGCGACCACCAGUAGUAGUAAAUCGAUCGAAACGACGAGCAUAUACGAUCAACACUCGUCUACACACGGACCACGCAGCCAACCGAACGACUCAGCGAUGACACAUGACCGAGCGAGGUCUGCUGCAGCAGGGAACGUGCACACGAUGCACGGUUGCACUGCAGCUGUGCGUCCGACCGAAUCCAUCUCGAUAGAUCUCGUUCGAGGCACAACCAGCGAGAGAAGAUGCAGGACGCGCGUCGCAACUACCUACAUAUAGCGUGUUAACUGCAGUAACGCGAUGCAGCGUGCACAAUGGCUAAUCGAAAACCUGACUUUUAUCGGUAUAUAUUACACUGAGAAAGUCGGUAUCGCCAACACAGUCGUUUCGACUGUGGUCGAUUACGUCGCCAAGACCUUGGGACGUGGAUUAGGGAGUACAGGUGCGAUGCCUCGCAACGAAUCGUAAUUCGAUUUAGCAAAAAACAGAGACAGACGAGAACCGUGUCCGCGCGAAUGAUACCGUUCCUCUUCCAGAGGCUACUACAUGCGACUAACCAGAUAAAGACGUUAACGAGCUUUGGUAGAUGCGACACGCCGUUCAUAUGCACCCGGCUAAUAUUCCGGCAGCACUUUUUAAACGACUCUCAUCGGAAAACUGAAAAUGUUCGUUUUGUCGUACAUCGCGUAUCGUGCGCCUUCGUCAUCGAAUGACUGAAAUCGCGCGGUUCGAGCGCUCGCACGGACGGCGAUCUCGCGUUAAUUAAAAAUCCACGCGCUCCAGACGGAACACAUCCGCGGAAAAAAUGCUAGCUAGUAAACACAAGCCUCAUUUACGAGGAAAAAUAAUCAAAGGUUAAGACUGAAUGGCAUUACGAAUGCCGAUAUAAAUACACGUAGAGAGAGUCAUUGUAUGCACAUGUUCCUAUUCAACGUUUGUUUACGGCUCGUACUCGAGAACGUAGCCACGUUACAACGUGAUAAAAAGAACACGCACGUAAUCGUCGUGUACACGUUCAUGACAAUGAAAAAGAACGAUUCUCCCCUAAUGUUAGGAACCAUUUUGGAUGUUUGUAGAUGUUUCAACGAGAUCGAGGUUUAACUCUUUUGUCGUAGACGAGUCUCGAGACGAGGAAAAAGCGCGAAAUUACACGACGAGCUGGCUAAUGCAUGUGCUUUCAUGUCCGAAAACAUCGGUUUCCGGUUUCAAACUCGUCGAUACGAUCGACAUGUGGAUCUCGAAACCGGUUCUUCAAGGCCGACCAAGACCCGCGUGUGUAUACAGAUACAGAUAUGCCGCGGUGUACGGUGCACUUCCAGAACCAGCUGCUGGCUAUAUAAGGAUUUACCGUGCUCUGCGAGGGUCACGUACGCACGUACAGAUACACGCUUCUACCAGCGACCUACGCGUGUCUCGUUCGGAACACGUAAAACAACGAAAUAUUUCGUAUAUACGGACGUAUACUGAGCCUGCUCAGAAGGUGUGAUCUUGUGUAACGAGUAACCUUGGUCCUAUCCUUGAAGCACUCUACGCUCGGUUUCUGAAGAGUUAGCAGAAUCGAAGAAUGUGGCUGCCAUCGGCCGCUGCUUGCACACCACGUUUCGACGCUAGGCUCACACAGACGAGCCACGUCUCACUCGUCCGUCGAGUGCUGAUUCCAAGUGGUAGUACAUAAUAUGCGAUCCCACCCCACCCUUCGUACUCUCAUCUUUGCUCGAAAGGUGCCAACCGGUGGUGAACCCUCCCAACUGUUCGUUCGUUGCGAGAACACACGCGAGAACUACAGCUUCAAAAAAAUUACUUCUCGCGGGGCUGUUCCUAUUUUCUUUUCUUUUCUCUCAAUCGUAUUUUCUGUGCUGCGUGUACUCGUUUUCACCCGCCGAAGGAGUCUUUAAAGACGCGACAACUAAUAAAACAAAAACGCUCGUUAAA